AGCGGGUGGUAAUACGGACAGACUCGUGUGUUAUUGCACUGGAGAUCAUGCUCUGAAUCCACAGCGCUUCAGCUCAUCCGGACAGACCGAGCUCCAGGGCACACGUGUGUGUGUUGAGGCGGUUGGACAUCAGUAUUCAGGGUGGUCGUUGAGGGUCCGUCUCUUGUUCUCGCAGCGGGCAGGUUUGUAUUAGCACACUGUUGAGGAGCGAGUCGAGUCGAGUCUCUGGGGAGCGAGUGGAGAACAGACGCCCUGCUGGUGCUGCAUGAGAAAUCACCUCCAUUCUGCUGAGAAUCUGGGUGUGAGGCAGACAGACAACACACACAGAGAGAGAGAGACCGCCCGGAGAGAAAAGUCAAUACAUACCGAGAGAACAUGUUUUCCUAAAGAGCAGCCGGUCUGCAGCCGAGAGAAAGUCUUGUUGAGUACAUUAACACUAAUGGACACAUAUUGAUGACGUC